AUUGAACGCUGGCGGCAUGCCUUACACAUGCAAGUCGAACGGCAGCACGGGAGCAAUCCUGGUGGCGAGUGGCGAACGGGUGAGUAAUAUAUCGGAACGUGCCCAGUCGUGGGGAUAACGUAGCGAAAGCUACGCUAAUACCGCAUACGAUCUAUGGAUGAAAGCGGGGGAUCGCAAGACCUCGCGCGAUUGGAGCGGCCGAUAUCAGAUUAGGUAGUUGGUGAGGUAAAGGCUCACCAAGCCGACGAUCUGUAGCUGGUCUGAGAGGACGACCAGCCACACUGGGACUGAGACACGGCCCAGACUCCUACGGGAGGCAGCAGUGGGGAAUUUUGGACAAUGGGCGCAAGCCUGAUCCAGCCAUGCCGCGUGUGUGAAGAAGGCCUCGGUU
rnacentral:rRNA from 1 species